AGCGGCGAACGGGUGAGUAACACGUGAGCAACCUGCCCUAGGCUUUGGGAUAACCCCGGGAAACCGGGGCUAAUACCGGAUAGGACCUCUGGACGCAUGUCUGGGGGUGGAAAGUUUUUCGGCCUGGGAUGGGCUCGCGGCCUAUCAGCUUGUUGGUGGGGUGAUGGCCUACCAAGGCGACGACGGGUAGCCGGCCUGAGAGGGCGACCGGCCACACUGGGACUGAGACACGGCCCAGACUCCUACGGGAGGCAGCAGUGGGGAAUAUUGCACAAUGGGCGGAAGCCUGAUGCAGCGACGCCGCGUGAGGGAUGACGGCCUUCGGGUUGUAAACCUCUUUCAGCAGGGACGAAGCGUAAGUGACGGUACCUGCAGAAGAAGCGCCGGCCAACUACGUGCCAGCAGCCGCGGUAAGACGUAGGGCGCGAGCGUUGUCCGGAUUUAUUGGGCGUAAAGAGCUCGUAGGCGGCUUGUCGCGUCGACUGUGAAAACCCGCGGCUCAACCGCGGGCCUGCAGUCGAUACGGGCAGGCUAGAGUUCGGUAGGGGAGACUGGAAUUCCUGGUGUAGCGGUGAAAUGCGCAGAUAUCAGGAGGAACACCGGUGGCGAAGGCGGGUCUCUGGGCCGAUACUGACGCUGAG
rnacentral:rRNA from 1 species